rnacentral:rRNA from 1 species
CUUGGUCAUUUAGAGGAAGUAAAAGUCGUAACAAGGUUUCCGUAGGUGAACCUGCGGAAGGAUCAUUCAUAAUAAGUGUUUUAUGGCACUUUUUAAAUCCUUAUCCACCUUGUGUGCAAUGUCAGUCGAUCUUCUUCAUGGAGAUCGGCCAAAAUCAACUUUAUUUUUUAACUCUUUGUCUGAAAAAUAUUAUGAAUAAACAAUUCAAAAUACAACUUUCAACAACGGAUCUCUUGGCCCUCGCAUCGAUGAAGAACGCAGCGAAAUGCGAUACAUAAUGUGAAUUGCAGAAUUCAGUGAAUCAUAGAAUCUUUGAACGCAUAUUGCGCUCUUUGGUAUUCCGAAGAGCAUGCUUGUUUGAGUAUCAGUAAACACCUCAAAGCUUUUGGAUUUUUUUUUGAAAGCUUUGGACUUGAGCAAUCCCAACACCAAUCUUUUUCAGAUCGGCGGCGGGUUGCUUGAAAUGCAGGUGCAGCUGGACUUUCUCCUGAGCUAAAAGCAUAUUCAUUUASUCCCGUCAAAUGGAUUAUUACUUUUGCUGCAGCUAACAUAAAGGGAGUUUGACCGUAUUGGCUGACUGAUGCAGGAUUUUACAAGGGUCGGCAACGAUUCUUGUUAAACUCGAUCUCAAAUCAAGUAAGACUACCCGCUGAACUUAAGCAUAUCAAUAAGCGGAGGA